rnacentral:rRNA from 1 species
AUUGAACGCUGGCGGAAUGCUUUACACAUGCAAGUCGAACGGUAGAGGGGGCAACCCCUCGAGAGUGGCGAACGGGUGAGUAAUAUAUCGGAACGUGCCCAGUCGUGGGGGAUAACGUAGCGAAAGCUGCGCUAAUACCGCAUACGCCCUGAGGGGGGAAAGCGGGGGACCGUAAGGCCUCACACCAUCGGAUGUGCCCAGAUGGGAUUAGCUAGUAGGUGGGGUAAUGGCUCACCUAGGCGACGAUCCCUAGCUGGUCUGAGAGGAUGACCAGCCACACUGGAACUGAGACACGGUCCAGACUCCUACGGGAGGCAGCAGUGGGGAAUAUUGGACAAUGGGCGCAAGCCUGAUCCAGCCAUGCCGCGUGUGUGAAGAAGGCCUGGUGUAAGCACUUUCAGCGAGGAGGAAGGGGUGAGUGUUAAUAGUACUCAUCUUUGACGUUACUCG